UACGUAGGGGGCAAGCGUUGUCCGGAUUUAUUGGGCGUAAAGAGCGUGUAGGCGGUCAGGUAGGUCCGUUGUGAAAACUCGAGGCUCAACCUCGAGACGCCGAUGGAAACCAUCUGACUAGAGUCCGGAAGAGGAGAGUGGAAUUCCUGGUGUAGCGGUGAAAUGCGUAGAUAUCUGGAGGAACACCGGUGGCGAAGGCGGCAUCCUGGACCGACACUGACGCUGAGGAGCGAAAGCCAGGGGAGCGAACGGG
rnacentral:rRNA from 1 species